rnacentral:rRNA from 1 species
AUUGAACGCUGGCGGAAUGCUUUACACAUGCAAGUCGAACGGCAGCACGGGGCAACCUGGUGGCGAGUGGCGAACGGGUGAGUAAUACAUCGGAACGUGCCCAAUCGUGGGGGAUAACGUAGCGAAAGUUACGCUAAUACCGCAUACGAUCUACGGAUGAAAGCGGGGGAUCGCAAGACCUCGCGCGAAUGGAGCGGCCGAUGUCAGAUUAGGUAGUUGGUGGGGUAAAGGCUCACCAAGCCAACGAUCUGUAGCUGGUCUGAGAGGACGACCAGCCACACUGGAACUGAGACACGGUCCAGACUCCUACGGGAGGCAGCAGUGGGGAAUUUUGGACAAUGGGCGCAAGCCUGAUCCAGCCAUUCCGCGUGCAGGAUGAAGGCCCUCGGGUUGUAAACUGCUUUUGUACGGAACGAAACGGUCUGCCCUAAUACGGCGGGCUAAUGACGGUACCGUAAGAAUAAGCACCGGCUAACUACGUGCCAGCCGCCGCGGUAAUACCCACGA